CACGUAGGGUGCGAGCGUUAUCCGGAAUUAUUGGGCGUAAAGAGCUCGUAGGCGGUGUGUCGCGUCGGCCGUGAAAACCUGCAGCUUAACUGUGGGCUUGCGGUCGAUACGGGCAUCACUGGAGUUCGGCAGGGGAGACUGGAAUUCCUGGUGUAGCGGUGAAAUGCGCAGAUAUCAGGAGGAACACCGGUGGCGAAGGCGGGUCUCUGGGCCGAUACUGACGCUGAGGAGCGAAAGCGUGGGGAGCGAGCAGG
rnacentral:rRNA from 1 species